rnacentral:rRNA from 1 species
UGAGGAAUAUUGGGCAAUGCCCGCAAGGGUGACCCAGCAACGCCGCGUGGAGGAUGAAUGUCGUAAGAUUGUAAACUCCUGUUAGAGGGGAAGAAUAGUACCGGUUGGACCGGUAUAUGACUGUACCCUCAGAGAAAGCCCCGGCUAACUACGUGCCAGCAGCCGCGGUAAUACGUAGGGGGCAAGCGUUGUCCGGAUUUACUGGGUGUAAAGGGCGCGCAGGCGGGAUAAAAAGUCAGUGGUGAAAUCCUACAGCUUAACUGUAGAACUGCCUUUGAUACUUUUAUUCUUGAGUUCGGGAGAGAGAGACGGAAUUCCUGGUGUAGUGGUGAAAUACGUAGAUAUCUGGAAGAACACCAGUUGCGAAGGCGGUCUCUUGGUCCGACACUGACGCUGAGGCGCGAAAGCGUGGGGAGCAAGCA